rnacentral:rRNA from 1 species
ACUAAAGUUGUUGCAGUUAAAAAGCUCGUAUUUGAAUUUCUGGUCGCGGCAGUCGGUCCGCCCCUCGCGGGGUGUGUACCUGGCUUCUGCAGCCAUCCUCGUGGAGAGCACAUCUGACAUUAAGUUGCCGGGUGUGGGAUCCACGUCAUUUACUGUGAGCAAAAUAGAGUGUUCAAAGCAGGCUUAGGCCGUUGAAUACAUUAGCAUGGAAUAAUAAGAUAGGACCUUGGUCUAUUUUGUUGGUUUGUACUCCAAGGUAAUGAUUAAUAGGGAUAGUUGGGGGUAUUCGUAUUCAAUUGUCAGAGGUGAAAUUCUUGGAUUUAUGGAAGACGAACUACUGCGAAAGCAUUUACCAAGGAUGUUUUCAUUAAUCAAGAACGAAAGGUAGGGGAUCGAAGAUGAUUAGAUACCAUCGUAGUCUUAACCAUAAACUAUGCCGACUGGGGAUCGG